AACGAACGCUGGCGGCAUGCCUAACACAUGCAAGUCGAACGAGACCUUCGGGUCUAGUGGCGCACGGGUGCGUAACGCGUGGGAAUCUGCCCCUUGGUUCGGAAUAACUUCGGGAAACUGAAGCUAAUACCGGAUAAUGACGUAAGUCCAAAGAUUUAUCGCCAAGGGAUGAGCCCGCGUAGGAUUAGCUAGUUGGUGGGGUAAAGGCUCACCAAGGCGACGAUCCUUAGCUGGUCUGAGAGGAUGAUCAGCCACACUGGGACUGAGACACGGCCAGACUCCUACGGGAGGCAGCAGUGGGGAAUAUUGGACAAUGGGACGAAAGCCUGAUCCAGCAAUGCCGCGUGAGUGAU
rnacentral:rRNA from 1 species